GCAGGAACUAAAACGGGGGACGCCAGUUCCUCAAGAUGAGGCGUUCAAGAUCACUCACGUGAAGAAGAAGGCAAACGCUAAUGAUCCAGAUGACUGGUGUGACGAACGGGCUAAACAGACCUACAAUCAGGUUCAACAGUCAAAGGCAGAGUUUCUUCGUACUCAGCCACCCAACACACAGCUGACACAAGAACAAAAGGAGGAAAGGUGGCUUGAGAGUGUUGGUGGUCCCACUAGGUUUGGCACAGCUUAUGGAAUGCCACAUCGUGCAUUUCGUUAAUACCGGUCGCCCCUGGAAGGCCUAUAUUCUUCCAAUACCGAGUCGUUCGAUAGAGUGAGUGCUAUGGCCAUGGAGCAAAAGAUUGCUGAGCUAUCUAGCCAGCUACAAGCCUUAGAGGAAAGGAAGAGGCGGAGGGACGUGCAGUUUGACGGUAUGAGGGCCCAAUUAGACGCAUUACUAGCUUCGAGGGGGAUUCCCUCGUGUCCUGAUGAUGCUCGUAACCCCCAUACUCAAUGUAGUGGUGCGGAUAAUGAUGGGACUCACGUGUCAAACACACAAAGGCAUGUUUAAAUAUUAAUGUUAUGGUGGAUUUGUGGAUUUGCGAGGGGUAAAGUAGUCUAAUGUUGUAGACUAACUUAGUGUAGACUAGUUUAAUGUUUUGUGGAUGUUUACCAAUGUUGAAGUAGUUUAAUAUUGUUUUGAUGUUUGCGAAGGUUGAAGUAGCUUAAUUAAUGUCUCUUGUAAAUGUUUGAUUGACGUUUUUAUUCAACUUUGAAGUAGUUUCGAAUUGAAUUUGAUGUUUUGGUGGUUGUAAUAUAUGUGUUGUAAUAGUAGCUUAUUGUUUUA